UGAAAAUGGUUCCCAUAGUUACAUCGUCGCAAUGGAAAGGCUGCUUGGCAGCCUCAGCCGUCAUAAUUGGAGGUUACGUCGCCUGGAAGAUGUUAAAACCAGAUUCCAGAAAUGUGAAACUUUUGAGUGCCAGUGAGCUACAGGAAGCUAAAUGGCAGCUUGUUGGUAAAGUCAAACAUGUUUGGCUGUACCCUGUGAAAUCAUGUGCACCUCUAGAUUUGCAUGCUGCAUUGGCAGUAAAACCUGGGCUCGAAGAAUUAACCUCAGCUCUUCGGGACAGGAGCUACAUGGUUGUGAAUGACUCACCCAAGUUUACAAUGGUAACGGGGCGAAUGUGCCCUCAAAUGGUGCUCAUAAAGCCUUCCCUUGAUGAGAAUGGUGACCUCACUCUCAGCUAUUCUGGCAAGGACCCACUGUGCAUCACUAAAGCUAACAGGCAGCAAGGCCCGGUCAAGAUAUCAGAGGUUUGGGGUGAUAAGGUUGAAGGUGUGGAUUGUGGUGAUGAAGCAGCUGCAUGGCUCCAGUCAGUGCUCCAGAGACCUGUUCGUCUCCUGCACUUCAAUGAAGAUGUCAACAAAUCCACACGCGUCCCCAACCCUCCUACUCCUGUGACGUUGCCUCUACUCCAGCCUGGAGACUCGGGCAUCUAUACAGAUCUGACUGGAUUCAUGCUGCUGUCAACAGCAUCAGUGGAGCAGCUGCGAGAACAUGGUGAAAACUACACUGCUCUUCAGUUCCGACCUAACUUUGUAGUUGACAGUGAUGACAAAGCCUCGUGUGGCAAGCUACGUCCCCACCAGGAAGAUGAGUGGCGCUACAUAAAAAUUGGUGAAACUGUCAUCUUCCGCAAUGUGAAACCCUGCACCAGAUGUGUUUUCACCUGCGUUGAUGCUGCUACGGGGAAGAAAGAUGCUAAUCUUGAACCACUAACAACACUAAAGAAGACGCGCAUGGUAAAACCGUGGACCAACCCUCUGUUUGGCAUCAACUUGGGCCUGGACACGAGAGGCGUUGUCAAAGAGGGUGACCCUGUCUACGCACUUGUGUAGUUGAUGCGACCAACAUGGUAGUGGUGCAGUGUACAACUCCUGUGGUUGAUGCGACCAACAUGGUAGUGGUGCAGUGUACAACUCCUGUAGUUGACGUGAACAUCAUGGAUGUUCUGAAGUAAAUUACUUGUAGCUGACGUGACCUUGAUGGUACGUAGGUGUGCAACAUACGACAUACCUUGGGCUUCCUAGAGCUUUUCAAGGGGCACCUAUUGCAGCGUCCAUGGCAAUACUUAAGUUGAAUGUUUAUUAUACUAGGUAUAUACAAAUUGACUGCCUCUAUAUUUGUUCAUAAUUAAAUUUUACUGUGAUAGAUAUGAGAGAAAUUGUUAUAUUCACACAUAUUUCAACUCCUUCUAUUUUCAGCUUGAUGAAAAAUUGUUAUUCGUAGUAAAUAAGAAAUAAAUGCUCAUUAGGUGUCUUUUUUGCUGCAUUCCUAAGACCAGCAACGAGACUAGAUUAGAAGCUCUCGAUGUGUCUCAAUGCAGUGCAUUUCCAAAGCCAGUAAUUAAGGUAGAUAGAAAGAUACUAGUUUGAAGUUUGUCUUCCAUGAUCAGUUAUUAAGUCGGCAAAAUAACGUUGUUGUCUUUGUGUGGUGAAUACAUAGGCCUUAUGAAGGUAUGAAAUAUUCAUUAUUACCUAUAUUUAAUGGAAUAAUUGUAAGUGUCUCCAGAGACCAAACAACAAUAUUAUAUGUUGGGCAGACGUAAAGUUAUGACGUAACUUACAUUUGUUGUAUUUGCAAUAUGUUGAAUUUACCUUAUUUUGUUACUCGUCUCUAUAAGUAGAUACAAUUUAUAUAUGUUAUGAAUGUGGGAGAAUUAAUAAAAUCAUUCCAAUUCAUAUAUAUGGACCUUUAUUUCGAUAUUUUUUUAUUGUCUAAAUUCAGUAGGAUUAACAGUUAUAAACUAAUAAU
rnacentral:misc_RNA from 1 species